GACGAACGCUGGCGGCGUGCCUAACACAUGCAAGUCGUACGGGACCGGGGGCAACUCCGGUUCAGUGGCAGACGGGUGCGUAACACGUGAGGAACUUGUCCGGUGGCGGGGGAUAGCCGGCCCAACGGCCGGGUAAUACCGCAUACGCUCGUUCGGGGGCAUCCCUGGGCGAGGAAAGCAGCCGCAAGGUUGCGCCGACGGAGGGCCUCGCGACCUAUCAGCUUGUUGGCGGGGUAACGCCCACCAAGGCGACGACGGGUAGCUGGUCUGAGAGGAUGAUCAGCCACAUUGGGACUGAGACACGGCCCAGACUCCUACGGGAGGCAGCAGUGGGGAAUAUUGCGCAAUGGCCGCAAGGCUGACGCAGCGACGCCGCGUGUGGGAUGACGGUCUUCGGAUUGUAAACCACUGUCGAGGGGAACGAAUACAGGGCUUCGAUAAGGAGACCCUGGGUGACGGUACCU
rnacentral:rRNA from 1 species